rnacentral:rRNA from 1 species
AGAAUCAACGCUGGCGGCGUGCCUAACACAUGCAAGUCGAACGAGAAAGGGGAGCAAUCCCUGAGUACAGUGGCGCACGGGUGAGUAACACGUGAAUGAUCUACCUCCGAGUGGGGAAUAACUGAGAGAAAUCUUGGCUAAUACCGCAUAAUACCCACGGGUCAAAGCAGCAAUGCGCUUGGAGAGGAGUUCGCGGCCGAUUAGCUAGUUGGCGGGGUAAUGGCCCACCAAGGCGAUGAUCGGUA